AAGUAAGCCACCUGCAAACAUUUAGUAUAUCUGUAUAUGCGGAUGUAUGUCCUCAUUGCCUCUCUGGCAUGAGUUACCAUGAAUAAACAUUUGACUCAUUGAUUUUAGUGUUGCUUGGCACAUAGGUUUUCAAUCAGCACAUAUGUCGUGAAUAAUACAACAGUUACCAAUGUGAUAUUUAUUUCUGGAUACUGAAAGUUUGUUUUGCUUCAAUAAUUUAUGAAAAUGAAUCAUGCUUUCUCCAUCAGCUUUGGGAAUAUCUGCAGCAUACAUCAGCCCAGAAGGGUCACACUGAGAAUCUUUGUCUGAUUGCUUUAUAGCAACCUAAUCCCACAGUAUUAAAAGAAAAAGCCUCUGCUCAGUAUAUUCUGCCCAAUUAUAUAGAUGAACAUAAAUAGAUGGAUAUCGGAAUGCCUCUCGUGUGUGUGUCCUACAUAAUUGUCUCGCAAAGACCAAGAAGCCCACAGAACUGUUCUUGUGCUGCUUGUGAGGACAGAGAAGUUGAGCAGCAGACUUUAAUAUGGCUGAACUUGGCUGGAAUAAACAUUAUUUUAUGCUUCAGAAUCUGGGGCAACCAGAAGUCAAGAACACGAGCUCUGUCGUGGAAUGCAAGUGAAGCUAUAAACAGUCCAUCCUUCAGAGCCAGAGAACUGCUGGCAGAAGAAAGCUUUGGUGCUCUGUUCCCCACCAAACCCAGAAGCUGGAUCAAAUCCUGCCACCACACUUACCUGGGGAGUCCAGUGAUUUUGUUAUCUUAUUCUUUCAAAUUAAUUUCACCCUACCUCUGAGUCGAAGACCAUUCCUUACAUUACCCACUGGACUUUUUAAUGCUGUGACAUGACUGAAUCUUUUUCUUUACUGAUGAAAUCCAGACUCAGGAUAAAGCAGCUGGUUGCAGAGGAAAGCGGGAAAUGGCUUCAGCAGAAGAACAUUCCAGUCAGUGUCAUCCUUCUGUUUUUUUUU